rnacentral:rRNA from 1 species
UACGAAGGGGGCUAGCGUUGUUCGGAAUUAUUGGGCGUAAAGGGCGCGUAGGCGGUUUGGCAAGUUUGGUGUGAAAUCUUCGGGCUCAACUCGAAGUCUGCAUCGAAAACUGCCGGGCUUGAGUAUGGGAGAGGUGAGUGGAAUUUCCGGUGUAGCGGUGAAAUGCGUAGAUAUCGGAAGGAACACCUGUGGCGAAAGCGGCUCACUGGACCAUAACUGACGCUGAGGCGCGAAAGCUAGGGGAGCAAACAGG